rnacentral:rRNA from 1 species
AGUUUGAUCCUGGCUCAGGAUGAACGCUAGCGGCAGGCUUAAAGGAUGCAAGUCGAGGGGCAGCAUGACUGUAGCAAUACAGUUGAUGGCGACCGGCAAACGGGUGCAGAACACGUACAGAACCUUCCUUCGAGCGGGGAAUAGCCCAGAGAAAUUUGGAUUAAUACCCCAUAGCAUAUUGAUAAGGCAUCUUAUUAAUAUUAAAGAUUUAUCACUUGAAGAUGGCUGUGCGGCUGAUUAGGUAGUUGGCGGGGUAACGGCCCACCAAGCCUGCGAUCAGUAACUGGUGUGAGAGCACGACCAGUCACACGGGCACUGAGACACGGGCCCGACUCCUACGGGAGGCAGCAGUAAGGAAUAUUGGUCAAUGGACGAAAGUCUGAACCAGCCAUGCCGCGUGGAGGAUGAAGGUCCUCUGGAUUGUAAACUUCUUUUAUCUGGGACGAAAAAAGGCUUUUCUAAGUCGUCUGACGGUACCAGAUGAAUAAGCACCGGCUAACUCCGUGCCAGCAGCCGCGGUAAUACGGAGGGUGCAAGCGUUAUCCGGAUCCACUGGGUUUAAAGGGUGCGUAGGUGGGUUGGUAAGUCAGUGGUGAAAUCCCCGAGCUUAACUUGGGAACUGCCAUUGAUACUAUCAGUCUUGAAUAUUGUGGAGGUCAGCGGAAUAUGUCAUGUAGCGGUGAA